AUGUAUAAGUAUAAACGAUUCUAUCGUGAAACCGCGAACGGCUCAUUAUAACAGCUAUAAUCUACUUGAUCUUGACAUAUCCUACUUGGAUAACUGUGGUAAUUCUAGAGCUAAUACAUGCACUAAAGCCCUGACCUUACGGAAAGGGUGCAUUUAUUAGAACGAAACCAAGCCGCUUGCGGUUUCUUGUUGACUCAGAAUAACUCAGCUGAUCGCAUGGUCUUGUACCGGCGACGUGUCUUUCGAGUAUCUGCCUUAUCAACUUUCGAUGGUAGUGUAUCUGACUACCAUGGUGGUGACGGGUAACGGAGGAUAAGGGUUCGACUCCGGAGAAGGCGCCUGAGAAAUGGCGACUACGUCUAAGGAUGGCAGCAGGCGCGCAAAUUACCCACUCUCAGAAUGAGGAGGUAGUGACGAGAAAUAACGAGACCGUUCUCUACGAGGCCGGUCAUCGGAAUGGGUACAAUCUAAACCCUUUAACGAGUAUCUAUGAGAGGGCAAGUCUGGUGCCAGCAGCCGCGGUAGUUCCAGCUCUCAAAAUGCAUAGAAUUAUUGCUGCGGUUAAAAAGCUCGUAGUUGGAUCUGUGCUAGGGACUUGGUCCACCUUCGGGUGCGUACUAAGCUCCCUUGCUUUCCUGCCGGUUUUCCCAGCAUGGCUUUAAUCGGCUGUGUUGGGUGGCUGGUGAUUUUACUUUGAACAAAUCAGAGUGCUUCAAACAGGCGUUUCGCUUGUAUGUUUUUGCAUGGAAUAAUAGAAGAGGAUCUCGGUUCUAUUUUAUUGGUUUUAUAGACCGAAAUAAUGGUUAACAGAGACGAACGGGGGCAUUAGUACUUUUGCGCUAGAGGUGAAAUUCUUGGACCGCAGAAAGACUAACUACAGCGAAAGCAUUUGCCAAGAAUG
rnacentral:rRNA from 1 species